GGUUAAAACUCAAAUGAAUUGACGGGGGCCCGCACAAGCGGUGGAGCAUGUGGUUUAAUUCGAUGCAACGCGAAGAACCUUACCUGGUCUUGACAUCCACGGAAGUUUUCAGAGAUGAGAAUGUGCCUUCGGGAACCGUGAGACAGGUGCUGCAUGGCUGUCGUCAGCUCGUGUUGUGAAAUGUUGGG
rnacentral:ncRNA from 1 species